rnacentral:rRNA from 1 species
GGGCGUUAAGGGCUCGCAGGCGGUUUUCUUAAGUCUGAUGUGAAAGCCCCCGGCUCAACCGGGGAGGGUCAUUGGAAACUGGGGAACUUGAGUGCAGAAGAGGAGAGUGGAAUUCCACGUGUAGCGGUGAAAUGCGUAGAGAUGUGGAGGAACACCAGUGGCGAAGGCGACUCUCUGGUCUGUAACUGACGCUGAGGAGCGAAAGCGUGGGGAGCGAACAGGAUUAGAUACCCUGGUAGUCCACGCCGUAAACGAUGAGUGCUAAGUGUUAGGGGGUUUCCGCCCCUUAGUGCUGCAGCUAACGCAUUAAGCACUCCGCCUGGGGAGUACGGUCGCAAGACUGAAACUCAAAGGAAUUGACGGGGGCCCGCACAAGCGGUGGAGCAUGUGGUUUAAUUCGAAGCAACGCGAAGAACCUUACCAGGUCUUGACAUCCUCUGACAAUCCUAGAGAUAGGACGUCCCCUUCGGGGGCAGAGUGACAGGUGGUGCAUGGUUGUCGUCAGCUCGUGUCGUGAGAUGUUGGGUUAAGUCCCGCAACGAGCGCAACCCUUGAUCUUAGUUGCCAGCAUUCAGUUGGGCACUCUAAGGUGACUGCCGGUGACAAACCGGAGGAAGGUGGGGAUGACGUCAAAUCAUCAUGCCCCUUAUGACCUGGGCUACACACGUGCUACAAU